rnacentral:misc_RNA from 1 species
UUUCUAAGGAUGAUCAAGAAUUGGGAUACUUCCCUUUUUGAUCUCACUAGACAAUAAAGGUUUUAAGCAAAAUUGUUUAAACCUUGUGCAUAUGACGCUAACUCUCCAUGAAAUCUCCCCUCUUAUUGAAGAGAAGCUCUUUGUAACAAAAGAGCCCCCAUCUCUCGAGGUCCCCUACCUCCCUAUAAGAGAAGUUUCAUGAGUGUUUAGUGCCAUGUGUGAACAAUUAAAUGCGGACUAGCCGUCUUCGUUUCUCUUUCUUCAGAUGAUGAUCCCAAGCCUUCUGGCGCUCUUGUAAGAGAAAGCUGCUUUUAAAAAGCUUUCAGGAAGAAGAGUUUUUAAAAAGCUUUUCCAUAAGAUAAUGCCGGGGAAGGUUUUCCGGUUUAUCCCGGAGGGCUUGUAGCUCAGUUGGUUAGAGCGCGCGCUUGAUAAGCGUGAGGUCGGAGGUUCAAGUCCUCCCAGGCCCACCACUUUAAUCCAUCCCAAUUUAAUUCAUCCAUUGAAGAAGCGCUUCUCAGAAGCCUUUUUAUAAGAAUGUAACGCUUAUCUUUUUUCCUUAAAGCUUAAAGCAAUUCAAAAGCAAAAAGAUCUCUGUUAAACGGAUUUUAAUUUGAAAAAUUUGGCAUGCGUUAUGUUGUUUAGGGGCCGUAGCUCAGCUGGGAGAGCACCUGCUUUGCAAGCAGGGGGUCGUCGGUUCGAUCCCGUCCGGCU